GGCCCCGUGGCGGAACAGGCAUACGCGUUCGGCUUAGGACCGAAUGCCCGCGAGGGCAUGAGGGUUCGAUUCCCUCCGGGGCCA
rnacentral:tRNA from 1 species